AAUUAUUAACAAUAUAGUGAAUAAAUUAAAAACAAAUAAUUCAGAAAUAGUUUCGGUAGAUAAAUCUAAUGCUAUAGUUAUCAUUUGCAGUAAUGAAAUUCAAAAAAAGAACUUUAGAUUUUAUAAAUAAUAAUAAUAUUCAAAACUUAACAUUUGACCCAACUGUAAUUUACACUAAACAAAUUAAUAAACUGAUAACAAAUUCAAAAGAAAUCAGACCUAAAAUCCAAAAGA